AUACGGAGGAUCCGAGCGUUAUCCGGAUUUAUUGGGUUUAAAGGGUGCGCAGGCGGGAGAUUAAGUCGGCGGUGAAAUUUUGCAGCUCAACUGUAAAAGUGCCUUUGCAAACGGUUUCCUUGAGUGUAGAUGAAGUAGGCGGGAUUUGUGGGGUUGCGGGGUAAUGCAUAGAUAUCACGAGGAACUCCGAUUGCGCAGGCAGCUUACUAAACUACUACUGACGCUCAGGCACGAAGGCGUGGGGAUCAAACAGGAUUAGAUACCCUGGUAGUCCACGCAGUAAACGAUGAUUACUAGCUGUUUGCGAUACAAUGUAAGCGGCUGAGCGAAAGCGUUAAGUAAUCCACCUGGGGAGUACGUUCGCAAGAAUGAAACUCAAAGGAAUUGACGGGG
rnacentral:rRNA from 1 species